GCCCGCCUAGCUCAAUCGGAUAGAGCGUCAGACUCUUACAUGCGGGUAUCUGAAGGCUGCGAGUUCGACCCUCGCGGUGGGCU
rnacentral:tRNA from 1 species